GGUUGCUUAUACUAGUUGGAGGUUCAUGGGAGUGUCCAUGUGAAGAUGAUUUACAGUGUUGGUAGUUCUAUGGUGAUACGGUCACAUAGAAGUGAAAAUUGCAGCUAAUGAGAUGCUGAUUUUCUGAAUUGGAUUGCCCAGAGAUAAUGAUUAGUUGAUUUUAAUUGAUGCUUUUAAUUAUUUUAUCAUUUUGUUUACGCUUGGAUUAACGGUCA
rnacentral:lncRNA from 1 species